UGAAAGCAGGCGAAAGAUUCCUGCACCCGUAUAUGGAGCGAAGGAGUGACGGAGACGGAUAGUGUGACCCUCUUAAUGGAUUGAGGGCGAAGCGAAGCGGCUGGUUACCAGGCAAAUCCGGUAACCUUAAGGCUAGAGCGUGACAGGUAAGCGAAAUCUAAGGAAAGUAGCGAAGCACAUGAUGACGGCUUCCAGGAAAAGCUUCUGGCAAUGCAUAUGCGGCCCGUACCAAAACCGACACAGGUGGGCAGGGAGAGAAUCCCGAGGUGAGCGAGAGAACUGUUGCAAGGAACUCGGCAAAAUGACUCCGUAAGUUAGCGAGAAGGAGUGCUUAAGCAAUUAAGCCGCAGUGAAGAGGCCCAAGCGACUGUUUAACUAAAACACAGCUCUCUGCGAAGUCGCAAGACGAAGUAUAGGGGGUGACACCUGCCCGGUGCUGGAAGGUUAAGAGGAUCUGUUAAGAGCGACCUGAAGCAGUGAUCCGAAGCCCCAGUGAACGGCGGCCGUAACAAUAACGGUCCUAAGGUAGCGAAAUUCCUUGUCAGGUAAGGUCUGACCCGCACGAAAGGUGUAACGAUUUGGGCGCUGUCUCGGCAGCAGACUCGGUGAAAUCUUAGUACCUGUGAAAAUGCAGGUUACCCGCAACUAGACGGAAAGACCCCAUGGAGCUUUACUGCAGCCUGAUAUUGAAUUCUGGUCAUACAUGUACAGGAUAGGUGGGACACAAAGAGACGUGCACGCCAGUGUACGAGGAGUCGACGUUGGGAUACCACUCUUGUGUGACCGGGGUUCUAACCUGGUAUCGAGAACAGGUACGGGGAGAGUGUCAGGUGGGCAGUUUGACUGGGGCGGUCGCCUCCCAAAGAGUAACGGAGGCGCCCAAAGGUACGCUCAGAUUGGAUGGAAACCAAUCGACGAGUGCAAUUGCAGAAGCGUGCUUGACUGUGAGACAAACAAGUCGAACAGGGACGAAAGUCGGGAAUAGUGAUCCGGCGGUGCCGAAUGGAAGGGCCGUCGCUCAACGGAUAAAAGCUACCCUGGGGAUAACAGGCUGAUCUCGCCCAAGAGUUCACAUCGACGGCGAGGUUUGGCACCUCGAUGUCGGCUCAUCGCAUCCUGGAGCUGGAUUCGGUUCCAAGGGUUGGGCUGUCCGCCAUUAAAGCGGUACGCGAGCUGGGUUCAGAACGUCGUGAGACAGUUCGGUCCCUAUCUGUUGUGGGCGAAGGAGAUCUGCGGAGAGCUGUCCUCAGUACGAGAGGACCGGGAUGGACCUACCGCUGGUGCACCGGUUGUUCCGCCAGGGGCAUAGCCGGGUAGCUAAGUAGGGAAAGGAUAAGCGCUGAAAGCAUCUAAGCACGAAGCCUACUCCAAGAUGAGAUCUCCCAUUCGCAAGAAGUAAGACCCCUUAAAGACGAUAAGGUAGAUAGGCCAGGGAUGGAAGUGCAGUGAUGUACGGAGUUGACUGGUACUAAUCGGUCGAGGACUUAAUCG
rnacentral:rRNA from 1 species